rnacentral:rRNA from 1 species
UACGUAGGGUGCGAGCGUUGUCCGGAAUUACUGGGCGUAAAGAGCUCGUAGGUGGUUUGUCGCGUUGUCCGUGAAAACUCACAACUCAAUUGUGGGCGUGCGGGCGAUACGGGCAGACUGGAGUACUGCAGGGGAGACUGGAAUUCCUGGUGUAGCGGUGAAAUGCGCAGAUAUCAGGAGGAACACCGGUGGCGAAGGCGGGUCUCUGGGCCGGAACUGACGCUGAGGAGCGAAAGCGUGGGGAGCGAACAGG